rnacentral:lncRNA from 1 species
UUCGGUUUCUUCGAGUUUGAUGAACUACUACCGAUACAACCGCCGGUAGUAACCGCUAUCUGCGGUGAACUGUAGACUCUUCUAUCCGAUACGCUGUGACUGAGGCGAGGUUUGAUGUACGGCCGUUGAGUAACUGCAACUGGAUUGUUGACGGAUUUUCGGUGGCUGAUAUACGGAGAAACCGAACGAUUGACCGUCGGAUUCUUUGAAUUCGAAUUACAACGGUUCAGAUCUAUCGGCUGAGGUUGAGAUUGUUCUUGAGUAAGGAUUAUUGUGAAUAGGCGUUCACGGAGGCACGUAGCGCAUACGCCGGUGAUGCUGCUGAGAUCGAUGGUGGUGAUGCUGCUUGUGCCGCCGGCAACGGUGGUGGUGGGUGGGGGUGCCGGUGAGGGGUUGAGAAUGCGGUUCUAGCGCGUUUUGGUAUGAAUG